CCACUCCAAGACAAUGCAUAGGAGAAAUCCGGGUGACAGGGCAGGGGGAGCUGGGCAGCCCCGGGGAUUGCACCCCCUCACUUGGGCUGAAAAACAUGGCCCAUUGCCAUUUUGGCCCAUGGCUGGUCUUUCCAGUUCAAUACUACCCAAUCUCAGGCUCUUAAGAAGAUGUGAAUGGGCUCGGCACACAGUUGGGCCUCAGACUUAGUUGCACAGGGACCAGAACCGGACCCAGGAUUUCCCUGACACAGAGAACUCCUAGAACAGAGGUGUCAGUCAUGCAGCCCAAGUGAAGAUACAGCCCACAACAUUCCCAAGAAAAUGUAAUCGAGAAAUAAAAAAAUACAAGACAGAUA
rnacentral:lncRNA from 1 species